rnacentral:rRNA from 1 species
AUUGAACGCUGGCGGCAGGCCUAACACAUGCAAGUCGAGCGGAUGAAGGGAGCUUGCUCCUGGAUUCAGCGGCGGACGGGUGAGUAAUGCCUAGGAAUCUGCCUGGUAGUGGGGGAUAACGUCCGGAAACGGGCGCUAAUACCGCAUACGUCCUGAGGGAGAAAGUGGGGGAUCUUUGGACCUCACGCUAUCAGAUGAGCCUAGGUCGGAUUAGCUAGUUGGUGGGGUAAAGGCCUACCAAGGCGACGAUCCGUAACUGGUCUGAGAGGAUGAUCAGUCACACUGGAACUGAGACACGGUCCAGACUCCUACGGGAGGCAGCAGUGGGGAAUAUUGGACAAAGGGCGAAAGCCUGAUCCAGCCAUGCCGCGUGUGUGAAGAAGGUCUUCGGAUUGUAAAGCACUUUAAGUUGGGAGGAAGGGCAGUAAGUUAAUACCUUGCUGUUUUGACGUUACCAACAGAAUAAGCACCGGCUAACUUCGUG